rnacentral:rRNA from 1 species
UACAGAGGUCUCAAGCGUUGUUCGGAUUCAUUGGGCGUAAAGGGCGCGUAGGCUGCGGGGCAAGUCGGGUGUGAAAUCUCGGAGCUUAACUCCGAAACUGCAUUCGAUACUGCUGUGCUUGAGGACUGGAGAGGAGACUGGAAUUUACGGUGUAGCGGUGAAAUGCGUAGAUAUCGUAAGGAAGACCAGUGGCGAAGGCGGGUCUCUGGACAGUUCCUGACGCUGAGGCACGAAGGUCAGGGGAGCAAACGGG